CUGACCCUUGACCCUUCGCUCCCCUCCCCACACUCCCUGAGGAAAUUCUAACGGGUUUCCACUAUCCUGGAAAGUGUUCCCAGGUUGAUGCCUGAGCUGGCCCUGGUUAAACUGCCAACUGUCUCCAGAAUGACUACUUCAGGGCAAGAACAGUGAGUUCUGGAGGUUUCCAUUGAGAUCAAACCAG